rnacentral:rRNA from 1 species
AUUGAACGCUGGCGGCAGGCUUAACACAUGCAAGUCGAGCGGGGUGAUGGUGCUUGCACUAUCACUUAGCGGCGGACGGGUGAGUAAUGCUUAGGAAUCUGCCUAUUAGUGGGGGACGACAUCUCGAAAGGGAUGCUAAUACCGCAUACGUCCUACGGGAGAAAGCAGGGGAUCACUUGUGACCUUGCGCUAAUAGAUGAGCCUAAGUCGGAUUAGCUAGUUGGUGGGGUAAAGGCCUACCAAGGCGACGAUCUGUAGCGGGUCUGAGAGGAUGAUCCGCCACACUGGGACUGAGACACGGCCCAGACUCCUACGGGAGGCAGCAGUGGGGAAUAUUGGACAAUGGGGGGAACCCUGAUCCAGCCAUGCCGCGUGUGUGAAGAAGGCCUUAUGGUUGUAAAGCACUUUAAGCGAGGAGGAGGCUCUUUUGGUUAAUACCCAAGAUGAGUGGACGUUACUCGCAGAGUAAGCACCGGCUAACUCUGUGCCAGCAGCCGCCGUAA